CCUACGGGUGGCUGCAGUGAGGAAUAUUGGUCAAUGGACGCAAGUCUGAACCAGCCAUGCCGCGUGCAGGAAGACGGCUCUAUGAGUUGUAAACUGCUUUUGUACGGGGGUAAACGCAGACACGCGUAUCUGUCUGAACGUGUCCUACGAAUAAGCAUCGGGUAACUCCGUGCCAGCAGCCGCGGUAAUACGGAGGAUUUACGGGUUAUCGGGGUUUAUUGGGUUUAAAGGGUGCGUAGGCGGUCGGUUAAGUCAGAGGUGAAAUCCCGCGGCUCAACUUCGGAAUUGCCUUUGAUACUGUACGCCUUGAGAGUAGGUGCGGAAGGCGGAAUGUAUGGUGUAGCGGUGAAAUGCUUAGAGAUCAUACAGAACACCGAUUGCGAAGGCAGCUUACCGAGCUACUACUGACGUUGAGGCACGAAAGCGUGGGGAGCAAACAGGAUUAGAUACCCGUGUAGUC
rnacentral:rRNA from 1 species